CCUACGGGAGGCAGCAGUAGGGAAUCUUCCGCAAUGGACGAAAGUCUGACGGAGCAACGCCGCGUGAGUGAAGAAGGUUUUCGGAUCGUAAAACUCUGUCGUCGGAGAAGAACAAGUAGGAGAGUAACUGUUCCUACCUUGACGGUACCCGACCAGAAAGCCACGGCUAACUACGUGCCAGCAGCCGCGGUAAUACGUAG
rnacentral:rRNA from 1 species